rnacentral:rRNA from 1 species
CCUACGGGUGGCAGCAGUGAGGCAUAUUGGUCAAUGGACGAGAGUCUGCACCAGCCAAGUAGCGUGAAGGAUGACUGCCCUAUGGAUUGUAAACUUCUUUUAUAUGGGAAUAAAAUGUUCCACGUGUGGGCUUUUGUAUGUACCAUAUGAAUAAGGUUCGGCUAACUCCGUGCCAGCAGCCGCGGUAAUACGGAGGAUCCGAGCGUUAUCCGGAUUUAUUGGGGUUAAAGGGAGCGUAGGUGGAUUGUUAAGUCAGGUGUGAAAGUUUGCGGCUGAACCGUAAAAUUGCAGUUGAAACUGGCAGUCUUGAGUAGAGGAGAGGUGGGCGGAAUUCGUGGUGUAGCGGUGAAAUGCUUAGAUAUCACGAAGAACUCCGAUUGCGAAGGCAGCUCACUGGACUGCAACUGACACUGAGGCUCGAAAGUGUGGGUAUCAAACAGGAUUAGAUACCCUUGUAGUC